rnacentral:misc_RNA from 1 species
CGCUUUCACGUAACAGUACUUCGUCUUUCUGGUUUCCAUGGCGCCCCGUCCUCUUUCUGCCGCAUCGGCAACAUCGAGAAGUGGUGGUCGCACAGCGUCCAAGCGCGCGCACACACAAAGUCAGGGCAUUUUAGGGCGCAGAAGGGCAACGACUGAGUGGAUGUGACGCACCCCUCCACUCGUUUCGCCUCCACCCAAUCCUUCACCAGUGCAGCCGUCCCUCCUCCUCUCUCACUUGCUUUGCCAUAUUAUCGACCCCUUAACGCCCCCCCCUCGCCCCCCAUCUCUCUCGUAGACAGAUACAGCUUUCAAACUCUUGAGCACGUAUAUAUAUAUAUAUAUAUACACGGGCACACCUUCAUAGACGACUGCACCCACUCCUCUUCCCUCCUCCUCCCUGAUGGCGGAGCCACAGUCGCGUGCGCCAGCCCCCCUCUGUGCCGGAGCCACAGACAAUGUCGUGGCAGCGUCGGCGGGUAUUUCCGUCAACGUGCGUCUCUGUAAGCACCUUCUUCAAGGUUCUUCUCACACUCGGCCACAGCCGUUGACGAGCUCGGUGUUCCUCGACGCACUCGCGCGGUAUCCUCUACCAGUCGUCUCGGCGGCCACUGCGCACGAUGUUGCCGGCUCAGAGCAGCAGCUGCAGCUGCACCAACUGUCAGCCCACUCUCCUUCGCAGCCUUUUUCAGAGGUGCCAUCGGAACCGGCAACGGCCGCGUCCGCUUCGCCGAUGCGGAUUCGCAUAUCCACCGCAUCACCGCGUGGCGAAGGGCGCAUGAGUUUCAGCGGCGCAGCCCAGCAUGUUGCCAGUGAUCUGACAGCUGCGAUAAACCAAUUCUGGGCUCUGUCACCCGCCUCGGCGGCGCCGCAUUCCCCGCUGCUCACGACUGUUGAGGAGGACACGCAAGGCCCUUUGCAUACAGCCGCCGUCGUUGCUUGCAGCUCCGCAUCUCAGCAGACGCCGCCUCCCCCGCCACCGUGGGUGGCCUUCUCGCCCUUCCGCUUUUGCGCUGAUCCGUCGUUUCACGCAGCGCUGCAACGCCUUCCGAGACACCGCGGCGACACAGCCGAUAAUCAUCAGCUAAGACAGCGCGCUGUGGCGCCGCCCUCGCCGCCGAGUCGCCAUAUGCCCGGCCUCUCCUUCCUUUGUGCUCCUACCGGGGGUAUUGCUCCGGCAUCGCGUUCGGCUGGGGAGGGCCCGCAUGGCACGCCGAGCCGCGUCUCAGCGGCGGCCGCGGCCACCGUUUCCGCUUCUGACGGCGACAGCGUGCCCUUUGAUGCGCCGCUAGGCGCCCCGUGGACGAUGAUGGAUGCGUGGUGCCACGGCUUCGCGGCGACGGCGGCGGAGGGAGGUCGAAGCCGCAAGCGCGCGCGCACUGCGAGUGCCACGGCAGCUUCGCCGACGAGUGCGGAGCCCACAAUUUUCGCGCGUCUUCAUUUGAGUGACACCUAUGACGGAGGCAGCGCGAGGAUGGGCUCAAAGGACAGUCCGUUGCCGACUGUGACCACGGUUGCUUCGCACGACACCUUCCGCAGAAACCCUUCGCCCGACUCGUUUGCGACGCUUCCCUCGUGGGCCUCUCUGGCAACGCCGCACGAGACACUGGAUGAGCCACAGAGCCGCGUUCCUGAGGAGGAUGACCUGCUCGACCUGCUACUUGGGGUGGAGCAGAAUGCAUCUCGGCCGCCCGAGUUUGCUGGUAGGCUGCCGUGUUCACGGGCGCAGCUCAUGGAAGCUACAGGAAUGACCGGCGCUGAAGUGCACACGGAGGGAGAGGGUGAACGAAGCACCUUGGCGAAGCGCGACGGGAGUGCGACGGUGUCCAGCAGCAUGACGGUCUCGAGACUGGGGACGUCUGCGGCGCGUGUCGGCGCCGACGGGCUUGCUACGUCCUGCGUGCAGAUGAAUCAGGUGACGACGUCGCUGGCCUUGACAGCGACGGCCACUGCGACCGCGACGCCUCGGGGGCCGGCUCUGAGUACGUCUUCAGCUGCCGACUUCUUCUGUAGUGCCGGUGACGCCAACAACUGCGAACACGUGCCCCUUUCCACCGUGAAGGACCUCAGAAGCACGUGCGCGCGGCUCGGCCUGCUGAGCACGGGCUCGAAGACGGCCCUGCAGCAGCGCCUCCGUCUUUACUACGCGUCCGCACCGGCGCCGCAACAGAGCGGCGCUCGUGUCCCGCUGGUGGCGGCUGCCGCGAACUUGUCUUCUGCACUGCAUGUGCCGCUCGACCCCAGUGCAACCCGAACGGGGGGCGAAGUUGGCGCUUCUCUUUCCACCGGCUCUCCUCCACGGACGGUCUUCCGCUACCGCAGUCCGUCGCAAUCGUCAGGGUCGGUCCUGCCCGCAUCUGCUGCUGCAGUGGCAGUCGGUCAGCCGCGCACCUGCGCUACUGAGUCAGUGAGUGUGCCGGCGACGCGGGCGGCUGCGACCGCUGCAUGGGAGCAUGCGGCGGUAUCUACCUCUCCUGUAGCUGCGGCUUCGGGCCAGCGUGGUCGUCUCGUCCCGUCCCCUACGCAGUUCCUUCACGAUCUCGCCUCUCGGACGACGCGGACACCUCACACGGCGCUUGCCACUCUCUGCGAUGCACACUCGCCCCCCUCCGUGACAGCCGCGCGAGCGCAGCAGGAGGAGCUGACGAGCGAGACGGGCCGCGUACGCUGGCAGUGGCUCGUGGACUUCCGCGAACGUUCCAGCGCACAUCGUGGCGGCGGCAGCAGCGGCAGGCGCCAGCAUGAGGGCAUCUUGGACAUCUUUCGUAAGCAGCAUGUGCCGUGCACAUCGAUGAUGCUGCCGGUCGGUGACUUCAUGCUGUCCGUGGAGCUGUCGCCCGGGGAGGCCGCUGCGAUGCACGUGUGUGGUGUUGCUGCAAGUACGGAGGCGGAUGCCGGAGUGCCAAGAGCCUCCGCCACGGCCGAGGGUGCUGCACCGGUUCUCAGCCAUGUCUGCUCUCUUGUUGUGGAGCGUAAGACGGCCGCGGACUUGGAUGCGAGCGUGAAGGGGGCACGCUACACAGAGCAGCGGCGACUGCUAGCGGCGUCGCCGUUUCGCUUAGUGGUGUGGCUGGUAGAGGGUUUGGUCGUUGCAGGCGGGAGCGGCAGCGGCUUCUUAAGUCGCGGUCAGCGCCACCGCCUUGGCGGUGGCGGUACAGAAAGUGACACGCAGCCAGGCAGUCGCAGCCCAUCACCCGCACCGUCACCGCCGGCAGAGAGCGCGCGCCAACGCGUUGACUCGGCGUGUGCUUCGCUGGGCCUCCACGGGAAGGGCUGGUUGGUGGUGCGCACCCGUAACACGACGGAGUCUGUGCAGUUUCUGAAGCUGCUCGCGACUCACGUCGCGCGGCAACUUGCCAGUUAUCGUCUUCGUCGUCGUUGCAUGGGCGAAGGCAAUAGUGGCAUGGUGGCUGGGAUUGAUGGCUGUGCUGCCUGCCAGAACGCAGCGCAGGACCCAUCCGCACAGCGCGUUGCACGCGCAGAUGGAGGAGACGUUCAUUGCGGUAACAUCUUCCGCAGCGCAGGUGAUGGUGCGUCAACGACGUGCAUGGCGGCCACUGUCGCGCUGCUGCAGUUAGCUCCCACGAACACAUGUCUGCAGUCCGUGAGUGCCCUGCAGCGGCACCUGCGCGCAAAGACGGCAUUUCCGCGCAUGCUCAUGUGCGUCCGCGGCUGCUCCGCCACGCUCGCGUCAUUGCUGUCCUCCAAGUACGGCACACUGCUGCGGUUUUGGCGAGAGCUGAGACGGCGCGGCCAGGAGGUGUGCGACGCCGACCCCGAUAUCCAGCGGCUCACCACAGCUCAGAAGAAGGUGUACGUACUGCUGACCGAGUUCCUGCUCGCCAAAGACUACUUCUGAUGCGGGUAGCGCACCAGUGGUGAUGGGGGAGUGCGUGUCUGCACGUAUGUGUGUGUGUGUGCGUUUAGCUUGUUUGCUCGUGUUGUAUUCACGCUUGG